GCGGGAGUAGUUCAGCGGUAGAACGUCGGCUUCCCAAGCCGGAUGUCGCGGGUUCGAUCCCCGUCUCCCGCUCCA
rnacentral:tRNA from 2 species